AUUGGCCUGCAUUGUAUAUGUCUUCCAUCAAUCCCAGCUUAUCUAUAUGUAGGGCAUCUAAAGAAUUACAAUAUUCUUUCUGAGAAGCACUGAUCUGAGAAGUGUCUUUAGUUGAUUCUUAUUAUUUUCUCUUUCUUUUUUUAAUGUGGCACAGUUUUAGAUGUUUAUCGGAGUGUUCAUGGAGAAUCUGGAUACUCUUGAGUGGAAUAUGUAGCCAUCUUCUCACUAAGAGUAAUCUUUAUUAAGUAUUACUUUUAUCAUAUAGCUAAAUAUAGAUCUCCAAAAUCUAAAUGUCAUGUAAAUCCAUUUUAAAACUCCUACUAAUAGAUUGUAAGGUCUUCUGUUAAUUCCCAAUGUCACUUAUUCUUCCUUUGUCCUUUACCUAAACACCUUUAUUAUGUCUCAUAUUCUAUGUAUGUUAAAUAAGAAUGAUAGUCAUUGAAGCAGGAAGAAAAUAAGAGAGACUAUUGAAAAAAGAAUCUAUAAGACUUUGACAACUGAUUGAAUGUGAAGAAUUGAAGAUGAUUUCCAGGUUGUGAACUUCAGUGACUGGAAGAAUGAUGGCAUUACACUUUCUUCUGGAAUGGGCUAAAGAAGAGAUCAUAUCUACAUGUCUAGACAGGUAAUCUGAGUUGCUAUUUGGCUAUCUCAGAGUUUUUCCCCAACUUCUACCAGCUAUGAUUAGAAGCAAGGUAUAUGAUGUAAUAAGUCAUUUUGUGAGCAUAAUUCAUUUUAAGAACAUUCAUUCAAAUAUAGCAUAGACAUUGUGAAACUAUUAAGCAAUAAUAUUAUGUUGUUCACUUUUAUUUUCAUAAUAAAACAGA